rnacentral:rRNA from 1 species
AGCGGCGGACGGGUGAGUAAUGCGUAGGAAUCUACCCUUUUGUGGGGGAUAGCCCGGAGAAAUCCGGAUUAAUACCGCAUAAGCUCUUCGGAGGAAAGUGGGGGAUCUUCGGACCUCACGCUGAAGGAUGAGCCUACGUUGGAUUAGCUUGUUGGUGGGGUAAAGGCCUACCAAGGCGACGAUCCAUAGCUGGUCUGAGAGGAUGAUCAGCCACACCGGGACUGAGACACGGCCCGGACUCCUACGGGAGGCAGCAGUGGGGAAUAUUGGACAAUGGGCGCAAGCCUGAUCCAGCCAUGCCGCGUGUGUGAAGAAGGCUCUAGGGUUGUAAAGCACUUUAAGCAGGGAAGAAACGCUGUUGGUUAAUAACCAUCAGUACUGACGGUACCUGCAGAAUAAGCACCGGCUAACUCCGUGCCAGCAGCCGCGGUAAUACGGAGGGUGCAAGCGUUAAUCGGAUUUACUGGGCGUAAAGCGUGCGUAGGCGGCUACGUAAGUCAGUUGUGAAAGCCCCGGGCUUAACCUGGGAACUGCAAUUGAUACUGCGUGGCUAGAAUUCGGUAGAGGAAUGUGGAACUCCAGUGUAGCGGUGAAAUGCGUAGAUAUCUGGGAGACAUCAAUGGGCGAAGGCAUCUUCUGGGCCUGAUUGACGCUGAGUUACGAAAGCGUGGGAAGCAAACAGCAUUAGAUACCC